UUUUUCAAACACUGAAAUUUUUAAAUUCAAAAAGAUCAUUUUCUGCCUUAAAAUGCUCGGUGAAUAAGGACGGUCCAGUCUCAGCUGAAAAUUAGAAGGUCCGCGAAAUUUAUCAGACAUAACAGACAGACAGGAGGAGCCGAGGCUAGCUGUGUGUACCGUUUGCAGGGACUGGGUCUGCGCCGGUGAAGGACUGGGUCCAAGCUGGUGAAAGUCCUCCAUCUUGGCAAAGAAACAAACGUGCGGUGACACACACGUCUAGUUUUUACCUAAUUUAACUUCAUUCUAGUUCUGCUGCACACCUGAAGUAAAUCAAGAUGUUUAACCAAGCAUUGAACAUUGCAAGGAGAGGUAUUUUCAGACGGACUAUGACGACAGGACGUAUGCCAGAGCAGAUCGGCGAAGGAGGCAAGGAUAUGACUCCUGCACACCAGUUGGGGGCUUUUGUGUUUAUAGCCAUUGGCCUGCUUGGUCCUGGAAUUUGGAUGAUGCUAACAAGACCAAAGCCUUCUCAAGAGCACUGAAGGAUCCCCAUCUCAAGCAUAAGAACUCUUCUAAUGUGCAGAAGGAUAACUUGAAUAACUAACUGAAGACUUGUGACUUGUAUGCAACCAUUUGCUUUGUAAUAGCUUGUAUAAAUGUUCAAUAUAAUACAAGUCUUUUUCUAAUCUGUAAUGUAAAGAGUGAAUAAAUAUUGUUCAUUUGGUGAAAA